rnacentral:rRNA from 1 species
GACGAACGCUGGCGGCGUGCUUAACACAUGCAAGUCGAACGGAAAGGCCCUGCUUUUGUGGGGUGCUCGAGUGGCGAACGGGUGAGUAACACGUGAGUAACCUGCCCUUGACUUUGGGAUAACUUCAGGAAACUGGGGCUACUACCGGAUAGGAGCUCCUGCUGCAUGGUGGGGGUUGGAAAGUUUCGGCGGUUGGGGAUGGACUCGCGGCUUAUCAGCUUGUUGGUGGGGUAGUGGCUUACCAAGGCUUUGACGGGUAGCCGGCCUGAGAGGGUGACCGGCCACAUUGGGACUGAGAUACGGCCCAGACUCCUACGAGAGGCAGCAGUGGGGAAUAUUGCACAAUGGGCGGAAGCCUGAUGCAGCAACGCCGCGGGCGGGAUGACGGCCUUCGGGUUGUAAACCGCUUUCGCCUGUGACGAAGCGUGAGUGACGGUAAUGGGUAAAGAAGCACCGGCUAACUACGUG